CUUUUUUUUGGGAAAUGUUUUUAUAUAGUUUGACAUUAUGGGACUGCAGUGAAUUUUGGCAUUCAAAAGCCACCUUCCUAUAUUUUUGGUAUCUUUCCCAAUAUUAUGUUGGCACCAAUUCUUUCUGUGUGUCUCGUUCUCUCUAUCUCUCUGUCUGUCUUUCUCUGUGUUUGCCUCUCUGUCUCUCCUUUCAUGCCUCUCUGUCCUCUCCUAGCUAUCUAUCUUUUUCUCUUGAUUUGCUACUUCUGUUACCAUUUUUCUUCAUCAAAUAAAUUGAUCAUUGCUCACAUCCUUCUUUCAAAUGAAAGAGAUGUAGUUUUUAGGACACUGUUGUUAGUUUACUCUUGAAAUUCC
rnacentral:lncRNA from 1 species